AACGCACCUUGCGCUCCUUGGUAUUCCUUGGAGCAUGCCUGUUUGAGUAUCAUGAAAUCUUCAAAGUAAAUCUUUUUGUUAACUCAAUUUGGUUUCACUUUGGUAUUGGAGGUUCUUGCAGCUUCACACGCUGCUCCUCUUUGUUCAUUAGCUGGAUCUCAGUGUUAUGCUUGGUUCCACUCGGCGUGAUAAAUUAUCUAUCGCUGAGGACACCCGGUAAAAAAGGUGGCCAAGGUAAAUGCAGAUGAACUGCUUCUAAUAGUCCAUUCACUUGGACAAUAAAAUAAUUAUUUUAUGAUCUGAUCUCAAAUCAGGUAGGACUACCCGCUGAACUUAA
rnacentral:misc_RNA from 1 species